GAUGAACGCUAGCGACAGGCUUAACACAUGCAAGUCGAGGGGCAGCAUAGAAGUAGCAAUACUUUGGUGGCGACCGGCGCACGGGUGAGUAACGCGUAUGCAACCUACCUAUCAGAGGGGGAUGACCCGGCGAAAGUCGGACUAAUACCGCAUAAAACAGGGGCACCGCAUGGUGAUAUUUGUUAAAGAUUAAUUGUUGAUAGAUGGGCAUGCGCUCCAUUAGGUAGUUGGUGGGGUAAUGGCUCACCAAGCCGACGAUGGAUAGGGGAACGGAGAGGUUGGUCCCCCACACUGGUACUGAGACGCGGACCAGACUGCUACGGGAGGCAGCAGUGAGGAAUAUUGGUCAAUGAGCGAGAGCCUGAACCAGCCAAGUCGCGUGAAGGAAGAAGGAUCUAUGGUUCGUAAACUUCUUUUGCAGGGGAAUAAAGUGGAGGACGUGUCCUCUUUUGUAUGUACCCUGAGAAUAAGGAUCGGCUAACUCCGUGCCAGCCGCCGCCGUAA
rnacentral:rRNA from 1 species